rnacentral:misc_RNA from 1 species
GUGGAGGUAAUUAGUUUUUAUUUUUCAGAAGUUUUGUAUUUAAUGUCAGAAACAUAACGGUACUUUCCUUCCGCAAAAUAAAUGUUGCAAGAAAGUAAUUUUCUAAGGGAGUAGUUCAAAAUAAAUGUAGGACCUUCGUUUGUUUGUAAUUUUCAUAAAGCUUCAUAGUAUUAGGUUGUCCGUAAAGUGUCUUUCUUUUACAGACACGUCUUUUACAACGAUGCAUCUUUAUACAAACAUGAAACUUAAUCUGUCGAACGUUGUGAUCUUUAUUUUGAUAGAACAAAGUGGAUCAUACGUAAUUCGAUAAAAUAAUAUAAAACGGAAAAUGUUGUGCAGCCAUUAUUUCCUUAUAAAACGAAAGAAAC